UACAGAGGUCCCGAGCGUUUGUUCGGAUUCAUUGGGCGUAAAGGGUGCGCAGGCGGCGGGGUAAGUCUGAUGUGAAAUCCCGGGGCUCAACUCCGGAACUGCAUUGGAUACUGCUCUGCUUGAGUACUGGAGAGGAAACUGGAAUUUACGGUGUAGCAGUGAAAUGCGUAGAGAUCGUAAGGAAGACCAGUGGCGAAGGCGAGUUUCUGGACAGUUACUGACGCGAGGCACGAAGGCCAGGGGGAGCGAAAGCGGGGAAUUGAGA
rnacentral:rRNA from 1 species